rnacentral:rRNA from 1 species
GGAAGUAAAAGUCGUAACAAGGUCUCCGUAGGUGAACCUGCGGAGGGAUCAUUACACAAAUAUGAAGGCGGGCUGGAACCUCUCGGGGUUACAGCCUUGCUGAAUUAUUCACCCUUGUCUUUUGCGUACUUCUUGUUUCCUUGGUGGGUUCGCCCACCACUAGGACAAACAUAAACCUUUUGUAAUUGCAAUCAGCGUCAGUAACAAAUUAAUAAUUACAACUUUCAACAACGGAUCUCUUGGUUCUGGCAUCGAUGAAGAACGCAGCGAAAUGCGAUAAGUAGUGUGAAUUGCAGAAUUCAGUGAAUCAUCGAAUCUUUGAACGCACAUUGCGCCCUUUGGUAUUCCAAAGGGCAUGCCUGUUCGAGCGUCAUUUGUACCCUCAAGCUUUGCUUGGUGUUGGGCGUCUUGUCUCUAGCUUUGCUGGAGACUCGCCUUAAAGUAAUUGGCAGCCGGCCUACUGGUUUCGGAGCGCAGCACAAGUCGCACUCUCUAUCAGCAAAGGUCUAGCAUCCAUUAAGCCUUUUUUUCAACUUUUGACCUCGGAUCAGGUAGGGAUACCCGCUGAACUUAAGCAU